rnacentral:rRNA from 1 species
UACGUAGGGGGCAAGCGUUAUCCGGAUUUACUGGGUGUAAGGGGAGCGUAGACGGCUUUGCAAGCCAGAUGUGAAAGCCCGGGGCUCAACCCCGGGACUGCAUUUGGAACUGUAUGGCUGGAGUGUCGGAGAGGCAGGCGGAAUUCCUAGUGUAGCGGUGAAAUGCGUAGAUAUUAGGAGGAACACCAGUGGCGAAGGCGGCCUGCUGGACGAUGACUGACGUUGAGGCUCGAAAGCGUGGGGAGCAAACAGG